UAGGUUUGACAUGCUAGGGAAAGCCUCAUGAAAGUGGGGCCCUUCUUCGGAACCCUAGCACAGGUGCUGCAUGGCUGUCGUCAGCUCGUGUCGUGAGAUGUUGGGUUAAGUCCCGCAACGAGCGCAACCCUUGCCCCGUGUUACUAACGGGUCAUGCCGAGGACUCUCGGGGGACUGCCGGCGUCAAGCCGGAGGAAGGUGGGGACGACGUCAAGUCAUCAUGGCCCUUACGCCUAGGGCUACACACG
rnacentral:rRNA from 1 species